UCCGUUAGUUUUUAACCUUAAAUGUCUAAGGUGGACGAACUUUACAGGUGGUCUACCAUAAACUUUAUUAAAAUUUUUAAUUUAACCGUUUGAUCUUUUUUUUAAAUAAAGAUUGGAUCAUUAAGGGAUCUAUUGUAGCUUAUAAUGAACCACAACAACCUAAGUAUUUUCUUCAUCUUCUUCCCUUAUCAAUCUUCUUCAUUGCAUCUUUAUUAAUCUUCAUCUUAAACAAAAAUUCAGAAAAUUACAAAAUUCUAUAGCCCCAACACAUCAAGUUCCAUAAAAUAUUGCAAAAAAAAAAAAUCAAAACAUUCAAUAUGCAGAAAAAAAGCGUAUUUGUUGAAUUAAAAAAAAGAGGAAAGGAAAAAUGAAGAGGCAUGCGAUUAUGAUUUCCAGCAACAUGAAUUUCUUCUCCUUCAUCCUUCUCGUUCAUCUUCGUUAAACCCAAAAGAAAUCAUUUUCAAAAAUCUUUCAUAACAAAAUAGAUCCUCCACAGUCCACACAACAACCCUUUCAUCAAACAUACAAAUCAAAGACUCUCAUUGAAUCACCAACAAAAACAAGCUCAUGUAAGGAAUUGAAGAGGUGGUUUUUUUUUUUCUAACAACAGAAAGCGAUCUCCUUCGUCUCCAAUCUCAGAUCGAUUUGAUGGUCUGGGGUUUUUUUUUCUUCUUAUCAAAUUUGUAGAUCUGAAUUUAUUUUUUCUUCUUUCUUUUCUAAUGAAACGUGAAAAACAAUCCUGGAAGGAAAGGAGAAGAAGAAACAUUGCACAUCUGGAUUGUUUUCCUUUCUUUAUUGUUUAUGAAUUUUUGGCUUGGCAUUGUUUUUGGAUCAAGCGUUUGAACUUUGAAAACUCUGAAACUGUCCCUGUCAAAACCAUUUCUCUAUAGAACAAUCUCUCAUUCUCCAUUACAAUAAUGGGUGUCAAGAAUUUGUGGAUGAAUUAAAAUGGAUAUGUGUUGGAUUUUGAAUUAAAAUGGGUAUGACUAUGGAUGAAGAAAACACAAAUUUGUUGGUAUGACUAUAGAAUUUUUUUAUAUUUUUUAUUUCUAUUUUAAUUUUAAAUUUUAGGAAAUUCAAUAUAAAUAGUCCUAUGUUUUGAGUUCAUUGUAUAUCUGUGCGCUCUCUAAAUCCAGCUCUUGAUCACUCAUUUUAGAGGGGUUAACACUUUUUGAAGAAAAAAAAAAUAACGGAGAUGACCAAAAUAGUAAACGGCAGAAGAUUUAUGGGACCAAAUUGAGACACUUUAUAGUUAGGGGACCAAAGUGAAAACCAAAAAUAAGUUAAGGGAUCAAAGCAUGUAUUAAACCUUUUUUUUAUCACAUUGAAGAUUUUAUGCAUUUUUUUCGUGUUAAAGUGCUGAUUUUGUUUUUAGUUUCUUACUAUUUGGAAACUUGUUAAAUCAUCACUAAAUACUCAUAUUGUUAUUUGAUUUGUAUGAACUUUUGAGGCUUGGUUCAAAUAUGCCUAAGGUUAAGUAUGGUUAUCAGAUUAAGUUUGAAAUCCUUCUUGUCAUGAGACAUGACUAUUCUUGAGUUUCUAUCCAUCUUUAAAUUUUACGAUUGUGCUUUAUUGGUUUAAUUUGUAUCUAAUUAAUGUUUAUCUCUACAUUAAGUACCUUGCACAAAUUGAAAAGAAAGAAAAAUGGAUGAAUAGACUCUAUUUGAAAUUUGUAACACAAACUAGGCUUUUAGAUAGGCUAAUAGGCUAGGCCAAG
rnacentral:lncRNA from 1 species